UUUGAGCAAGGCAGAAUGUCGGGAGACAUUAGAAGGCUGGGACAGAGCCUUCGACUCCCUCAUUCGGACCGGAGCGCUCUCUCUCAUGGGCCUUUUCCUCUCUCAGUCCCGAGCUCUCUCUUAGUCUCACGGAGCACCAUCCUCUCUCAUUCUCUCUGAGGCCUGAAGAAGCCCUAGACGGAAGGCUAGCUCCCGCCGCCCUCUCUCUCCAGUCUCUCUGGUUCGGAGCGGAGAAGCAAGGUCCGAAGCCCUCUUGCUUCCAGGCGACUGAUCCACUCCGGUUUCCCUUCUUUGUUCGUGAGCCAGUCGACGUCGAGCCCCACUUCCUCUCUCGAUUUCACAUAACCCGAAGCCCCCACUCUCUCCCUCAUUCCCUCUCUCGGUUUUGAAGCCCCUCUCCAUUCGCAGCCAGGCGACGGAAUCCCUAGCUCCUCCACUCCUUUCUUCUCGGUUUCACACAGCCAAAGUCGCCUCCCCCUAGCCGAGCCUGAAGCAAGUCCAGACGCCGGAAACCCCUUGCCCUGGCUGCCGACUGAUUUCUCCACAAUAGCAGAGUUCGAAGGCCACAAAAUAGACAGGAUUGCCGCUCUGAUUGUCUCACCCGAUGGAUUCUAUGGUCAUCUAGCCUCUUUUAUAUUUGUUGUCCGUUAGUUGUGGUCUUCUUGAAUAUAAAUGGCUUGAUGUGAUUUCGUUCCUUACUAGUGUUGGCAUGAUAACUUGGAGACCAAUUUAAGGUUUCUAAAAGGGGAAGGGAAAUUACUAUGCCUGGAAUCCUCUCAUCUCUAGUUUUGACAGCGUACAUUUAAUCAUGGAAAUUAGAGUAAGAUGUGAAAGAUGGUGAAAUGCUAUUGGAUACAUUUGGAUGUUGCAAGCUGUAACUCCCCUUCCAUCAUUCCUUAUUUGUCUUCAGAUGGUUUACUAUUAUUUAGCAAGGAUUUAAAUCUUUAAGAUUUAUGUUUUGACGUCAAUGAAUGUGCUACGAUAUAUGCAUUUGAAAAUGAGUAGUUUAUUUUCAA